GCCCCCGUAGCUCAGUUGGAUAGAGCAGUUCCCUCCUAAGGAAAAGGUCGCACGUUCGAGUCGUGCCGGGGGCG
rnacentral:tRNA from 1 species